GGAAUAUUGGUCAAUGGGCGAGAGCCUGAACCAGCCAAGUAGCGUGCAGGAUGACUGCCCUAUGGGUUGUAAACUGCUUUUAUGCGGGAAUAAAGUCAGGUACGUGUACCUGUUUGCAUGUACCGCAUGAAUAAGGACCGGCUAAUUCCGUGCCAGCAGCCGCGGUAAUACGGAAGGUCCGGGCGUUAUCCGGAUUUAUUGGGUUUAAAGGGAGCGCAGGCUGAUGAUUAAGCGUGACGUGAAAUGUAGCCGCUCAACGGCUGAACUGCGUCGCGAACUGGUUAUCUUGAGUGAGUUCGAUGUUGGCGGAAUUCGUGGUGUAGCGGUGAAAUGCUUAGAUAUCACGAAGAACUCCGAUUGCGCAGGCAGCCUUCCAGUCCGUUACUGACGCUAAAGCUCGAAGGUGCGGGUAUCGAACA
rnacentral:rRNA from 1 species